ACGUAGGUGGCGAGCGUUAUCCGGAUUUACUGGGUGUAAAGGGCGUGUAGGCGGCGUUGCAAGAUGGAUAUAUAAUUCCCGGGCUUAACCCGGGCGUGGCAUGAGAAACUGCAUUGCUCGAGUGAUGAAGAGGAAACUAGAACUCCAGGUGUAGCGGUGAAAUGUGUAGAUAUCUGGGGGAAUACCAAUGGCGAAGGCAGGUUUCUGGUUGUCAACUGACGCUGAGACGCGAAAGCGUGGGGAUCAAACGG
rnacentral:rRNA from 1 species